GAUGAACGCUGGCGGCGUGCCUAAUACAUGCAAGUCGAGCGAACGGACGAGAAGCUUGCUUCUCUGAUGUUAUCGGCGGACGGGUGAUUAACACGUGGAUAACCUACCUAUAAGACUGGGAUAACUUCGGGAAACCGUAGCUAAUACCGGAUGAUAUUUUGAACCGCAUGGUUCAAAAGUGAAAGACGGUCUUGCUGUCACUUAUAGAUGGAUCCGCGCUGCAUUAGCUAGUUGGUAAGGUAACGGCUUACCAAGGCAACGAUGCAUAGCCGACCUGAGAGGGUGAUCGGACACACUGGAACUGAGAAACGGUCCAGACUCCUACGGGAGGCAGCAGUAGGGAAUCUUCCGCAAUGGGCGAAAGCCUGACGGAGCAAAGCCGCGUGAGUGAUGAAGGUCUUCGGAUCGUAAAACUCUGUUAUUAGGGAAGAACAUAUGUGUAAGUAACUGUGCACAUAUUGACGGUACCUAAUCAGAAAGCCACGGCUAACUACGUG
rnacentral:rRNA from 1 species